UGAGUUUGAUCAUGGCUCAGGAUGAACGCUAGCGGGAGGCCUAACACAUGCAAGGGGGUAACAUUGGAGCUUGCUCCAGAUGACGACCGGCGCACGGGUGAGUAACGCGUAUGCAACCUACCUCAAACAGGGGAAUAGCUCAGGGAAACCUGGAUUAAUGCCCCAUAAUAUUUAGAUUUGGCAUCAGAUUUAAAUUAAAACUCCGGUGGUUUGAGAUGGGCAUGCGUGACAUUAGCUAGUUGGUAAGGUAAUGGCUUACCAAGGCUACGAUGUCUAGGGGUUCUGAGAGGAUGAUCCCCCACACUGGUACUGAGACACGGACCAGACUCCUACGGGAGGCAGCAGUGAGGAAUAUUGGUCAAUGGGCGCAAGCCUGAACCAGCCAUCCCGCGUGUAGGAAGACUGCCCUAUGGGUUGUAGACUACUUUUAUAAAGGAAGAAACCCUUCUACGUGUAGAAGGCUGACUGUACUUUACGAAUAAGCACCGGCUAACUCCGUGCCAGCAGCCGCGGUAAUACGGAGGGUGCUAGCGUUAUCCGGAUUUAUUGGGUUUAAAGGGUGCGUAGGCGGGACAAUAAGUCAGUGGUGAAAUCUUACAGCUUAACUGUGAAAUUGCCAUUGAUACUGUUGUUCUUGAAUAUAGUUGAGGUAGGCGGAAUGUGUAGUGUAGCGGUGAAAUGCAUAGAUAUUACACAGAACACCGAUUGCGAAGGCAGCUUACUAAGCUAUUAUUGACGCUGAGGCACGAAAGCGUGGGGAGCGAACAGGAUUAGAUACCCUGGUAGUCCACGCCGUAAACGAUGAUCACUCGCUGUCUGCGAUACACAGUAGGCGGCUAAGCGAAAGCAUUAAGUGAACCACCUGGGGAGUACGAUCGCAAGGUUGAAACUCACAGGAAUUGACGGGGGCCCGCACAAGCGGAGGAACAUGUGGUUUAAUUCGAUGAUACGCGAGGAACCUUACCUGGGCUUAAAUGUAGUAUGACCGUACCCGAAAGGGUAUUUCUCCGGGGCUAUUUACAAGGUGCGGCAUGGCUGUCGUCAGCUCGUGCCGUGAGGUGUCGGGUUAAGUCCCAUAACGAGCGCAACCCCUAUCGUUAGUUGCCAGCGGGUCAUGCCGGGGACUCUAGCGAGACUGCCACCGUAAGGUGAGAGGAAGGUGGGGAUGACGUCAAAUCCUCAUGGCCCUUAUGGGUAGGGCUUCACACGUAAUACAAUGGCGCGUACAGAGGGUUGCCAAGCCGCGAGGUGGAGCUAAUCCCAGAAAGCGCGUCGUAGUCCGGAUUGCACUCCGCAACUCGAGUGCAUGAAGUCGGAAUCGCUAGUAAUCGCGGAUCAGAAUGUCGCGGUGAAUACGUUCCCGGGUCUUGUACACACCGCCCGUCACACCAUGGGAGUGGACUCUGCCAGAAGUAGGUAGCCUAACCGCAAGGAGGGCGAUUACCACGGUGGGUUUCAUGACUGGGGUGAAGUCGUAAUCAAGGUACC
rnacentral:rRNA from 1 species